AAAAUAUGUGGUACCAUAUCUUUUUUUUAUUUUCAUUUUUUUCGAAUAAGGGCUAUUCUGUCAUUUCAAUGUGGCCAUUAAAGGGUAGAAAAGAGAUUUUCCAUGUCUUAUACGAAGGGUCAUCCACUCAUCCGGCUUCUCGUACUUGGGCAUGGCGUUGCAUCUCUCUCCCCACCGGCAGGUGUGGCCAGAGCGGAGUGCUCUGCAGUGCGGCGGCGGGGAGUGCGGGGCGGGCGGGGCGCCGGAUCCCGAGCGAGCUGCUCCUGCCGGUGAGUGCACCCGCGCACGCUUGUUGGAUGCGCUAGGACGCGAGUUCUGGUGAGCCUCGGUGGAGGUGCGGUGGCCGGAGUGCGACGGGGACGGCUGUGACUCCGGAGCGCGGCGGUCUGGGACUCUUGAGCGCGGCGGCCGGUGCUGGGCGCGGCCCCGAUGGGCGUGGUCGGCGCGGGCAUGGCGAGGCUGGAGAGCUGGGCCUAGGAUUGCAUCGUCGAGGUAUGAACAUUCCUGGCUUAUCCCUUGCAUUUGGGUGGAAGAAGAAUACAAAAAAAGAUCUAGUUUACAUUGAGUUUGUGGCCAGGUGCAAAUUUGGUCAAGUUUAGAUAGAGGUCUAGUAUUUGCCUGUAUCUUUUUAAUUUGUUAGCGUUGGCAAAUUUGGCAUUGGUUUUUUAUUACAGAACUAACUAGGACCGAAUCUGACAUGAGUACAUGAGUAACUAGCAUCAGAUAAAAUCUUACUCUUCUGAAAAUCGAGUUUGGAAGCCAAAUUGUUGAGCACUCGUUCCCUGGUUAGCUGACAGGAUUGCAUAGUUGUUCUGUAGUUAGCAAUCAAAGGAGCAGUGCCUGCUCAUGACGUGCUGGUCUCUGUUCUAGACUUGUAGCAGGUGUUGGAGUUGGAACAACCCACGGCUUCGUCAAUACACCCAGACCCAAUCCCAUCCCCACACUGAAUCUUCUUUUUCUUUACUUUCAUCCACAAUCUUCCCGGGUUUCUCUGACAAAGAUAGUAAGAUGGGUGAAUCAUUUGUUGUCAAUAUUGGUUGUCAAAAAACAGUUGCUCUUUUAAAGCUUGCGUUGCGUGUGUGAAUGAGGGCAGCAGGUAUCAUGCUGCAGUUUGGCUUUCGUUUUGCUAGAUUUAUGUGAAAACUGUGGGAGCUCCAAUGAUUACCUUGCUUUGUUUAAACAUAAACAUCUCAUAGAAACAAUAAUACCAAGCUGGACAUUGAACAUAGGCCAAUUAUCUCUUAGUAUAUAGAAAUUACAGGCUGAACACAAAUAAUGGAAAUAGUAACAUUAUUACAUAUAGAGUCGAUAAUGUAACUUAAAAUUUCUUGUAGGGGCUCAACUGCAACGGUCCUGGAUUAGAGACCCUGCGAUUUGGGCGUUCGACACGAUUAGCAAUAGACGCGGUGGUUAACUGGUCUUUCACAGACAUUGGAGUUUUGUCGUUCUUCUUUGGGCGUCCCCGUUUUCUUUUAUUUGAGGUAUUGGAGUUGCUGGCAUCUAUAGGAUUGCUGAUCUCUUUGACAUCGUCGUCAGCAGCCUCAUUCUUCUUUGGGCGACCCCGUCCCCUUUUAUCUGAGGAAUGGGAGUUGCUGGCAUGUAUAGGAUUGUUAAUCUCUUUGACAUCGUCAUCAGCCGCCUUACUCAUGUCUUCUUGCUGAACUUCAGCACAUUUUGCAUCGUAAGCCUCUUUCUGAAAGUUCAAAUGAGACAUGUUAGAUACAACGAACAAGUAUUGAACCCAUGAUAAGAAUGUGAUACAUUGUUAUACCACGUACCGUAAUAAGGUCCUUAUAUGAGCCUAAUCGAAGCUUGUUGCAAUCAGAUCGCAGGAGUGCGGAGCUAAUUUUCCUUUUGAAAAUAUGUAUGUGGGUCUGAAUUUCAGAAGAACUAACAUGAUGUUUAAAAAGUGCCAGUCUAUGUUUUAGUGAUUAGAUAUAUGUAGUCUAUAAAUAAUAUAAGAGUGACCUGUGUGAAAUGUUCUGUCAUCUUGUCCCCAUCCCAUGCCAUCAUGUACUUAAGGACGAAUGCACCACAAGAAUGGCUGCAGGUAUAUAAUGUUAAAUAAGUAUAGUAGAGAAAUAAAUUUUAUAGGAAAAGUAUAAUAUAUUACCCAUCUGUUUGUUGUGGUAUGUUAGAAUACAUUUCUGUUUCCCACUGCAUAAUAUUGAUAGCUUGGGUUACUGAAACAUUACCAACGGCAAUAGCAAAGUCAAUGCACUCUUGUAUGUUGCCCACCUAUUUUAUUGUUCGACAUAUGAUUAGUUAGAUGUGUAAAAGCUAUGUGUUAAUUGUGUUGUGUAUGUAACUAAUAUAAUAAGCGUACUUACCAGUGUAUGUUCUUUGACCACAUCUCUAGUAUGGGGGUUGGAGGCUAGGGAGUUAAGGAUUUGAAUCUCUCCUUUUAAGAAAUUCAGUACUAAUAGGACCCAGUGGUUGUCAUUUACAUUCAUUGGGACAAAUAUCUAUAGAAAAUGGGUGUAAGUACUAAUAGGGGAGAUAUAAGUAUAGAGAUUUAAAUGAAAUUAUACAUACCAAAUUCUUUCCAAUACAUUUGUUUGCAAUUAGGUUAGCCCAUGUUGUUGUUUGUUUUGCAUUGUCUAUGCCUCCAGUUUCACCUAACAACUUUCGAGCCUGCAAAGUUGUUAUGAAUGAUGUGGAAUCGGUCUCCACACUGCUUAUAUGUGCGUAAGCAUUGAUAACCUGAGGUUUGAAAUGUAGGUAACAUCACACAUAUGUAGACAAGAUGAUUUAGAUGCACUGAAAAGGUCUAACCUGAUCAUAUAUGAAGCCAUCUGUGACAUUUUUCUGUAAGUGUUCAAUUGUGAGGACAUAGUCAUCUAUUUGAACAACUUCAGCCUUUGAGUAACUAUAUGUUAAGAAAUAGAAAGCCUCUGUGUCCUCUGUAGUGAUGAGGUAAUCCUUGUCGAAUGCAGGCUUCCGUGGUCCAAUUUGAUGAGUGGGAGCAUGUCGAGGCUCCUUAUUUUCUGCCAUAAUCUUAUCCUGGAAAGCAGGCUUGUGUGGUGCAAUUUGAUUUGUGGGAAGGUCUAAAGGCACCUUAUUAUCUGCCAUAAUCUUAUCCUGUCUAGUAGAUGCUUCCUCAGGUUCUUUGCCCUCCUCUUUGAAUUGAUAUUGUUGAAAGAAUACUGUACAAUUUUGUGGAUGUAGACUCGAUGGUUCCUGAAAAAUAGAUUGUCAAUGAGGGCCAAACAGUUGGUCGUACAAAGAAAAUGUCCAAAGUAUACCUGGAUGUAUGCAGCCUUCGACAUAGACUGUAGAUUUGCCUGCAGUAGUUGCCUCAAUUCCUGUCACAGGAAACUUUCAGUCGGACUGUUAUAUAAGAAUCAAUUGAUUAAAUCACUGUGUUAAAAUAGCAUACCUGAAAUUCCUGUUUUAAUUCAGCAAAAUCAUCCUCUAGCUUAGAUAUUCUCAUUCCUACAACACCCCCCAUUUUUAUUUCUGCUAUCGCCUCGCCGUGUGCAAGAAGUUUGGCAUCAAGUUUAUGCUCUAGGGACAUGAAUUGUCUACCCAUAUCAUUCUGAAAUACUAGAUGAUUGUUGUUCAUACGUUGUACUAUUUGCUCCAUCUGUGCCAUAAAUAGGAGUACAAGUUGAUUAGAGAUACAUUAUAAAUGUAGUAAAUAAACAAAGCAAGUUGGUCUGAUAGGUUUACCUGUUGCUUAUUGAUACUCUGUUCUAGUGAACGUGGCUGAUAGCUGACACCUUCAUGUGCAUGUAUACGUUCAUUUGCUGAACUGAUAGGCAUGGUUUCAUCAAAUUUAGUGUGUCCUAUGAUUUGAGCUAUGUUCAUAACAACCUUGAAAAGGUGGCCAAAGUUAGGAUUGAAGGAGAGAAUAGAACAUAUAUAAUUUUGUGUACUCAAACUUACAAUUCCAUCGUCUAUUUUGUUUUUUCUACCAGCUUCCGUUCUUACUUUAGCUGUGCUUUCAUCCUAUCUUGCCAUCAGUGGUGGUGGGAUUGGGGCAUAGGUAAAACCGUGGUGGCUAUAUGGAUGCACAUGCUCCCAGUACCAGAACUACAUGUAGGAAACAUUAGUGAUGCUAUAGGAAAUUGAAUCAUACUCCAGACGACUAUGUAAGACUUACUUGCAGCAGUGUUAAAUUCCCCUGUAAAUUAACUUGUUCGCCAUGGUUGAAAUUAUGAAUUGAGCUCAGCAGAUGAGUCAAAGUGAAUUGACCCCAAUUAAACUUUGCAAUGUUGCUCGCGUCCUCAACCACCGACAAAUAUUUGGAGUCUACAUAAUCCUUUGUUGUCGGUGCUAGGAGAACUCCAAUUGCGAACAAAACAAAUACCCUAAUGAAGUCAUCGUCUGGUUCUUUAUCUUUGGAUUCAGUAAGAAUUUGCAAUAGGUCAGUAGUCCAUAUUCUGUUCCCACUUCCAUAAGCAAUGAUCAAGUUUAUGUUUGGUUUUGUUUUUGUCCAACUAAAUACAUCCAAUCCUUGUAUGGGGAGGUCCAUUAUUUUGAGUACAUCCUGUGAUGUCAUAGGUAUAUUCUGACCACAUAUAUGGAAUCGCUGAUUCUUGUAGUCAAGACGCUUAGCAAGCUUAAUCAAUAUCAUACGACGAAGGGUCACUGGGUUCAAAUGUAGGAGCCCUCCAAGGCCACAAUGUUCAAUAGCUUUUUUGUGUUUAUCUGAUAAGCCUUUAACCAUGUUUCCAAAUCUGAAUGGUGAGCAUACUAGAUGCAUUUUAGAAUGUUUGCUGACAAUCUGCAACAGACAUGAAUGCUACCUAAGUUACGAGAUAUUGAACUAAUUCUACAUGAAUAAAUCAUUGUCAACAAGUAUACCUCGUCAUCACUAUCUGGUAGCGGCGAUUCAUUGGCUAAUUGGAUACCUGGUCCAACCACUGGUGCGCGUGGUGCAGAAUUCUUCAUGGUCAAAGUAGGUUGAUUUUCAUGACUGUCAGGUAUGAUGCCGUCAGUUCUUGAAGCGUUGCCAUCGCUUCGUGUCAACACCGACGCUUCCAUCAUGUGUACAAAUUUGGCCAAGGCUUUUUUGUUCCUAGAAAAUCAGCACAGAUUACAUGUAGAAGUUGAUUGUAGUACAAAGAAAAUACAUAAGGCUGAUCAUACUAAUGUUAAGCACCUCUUUGAUGUAACAGCAGAUGUGGUGAAGGGCAGGAGGAUGUUGGAGGCCGAGCGUGGCUUGACAGCGGCGAGGCAGAGAUGUAGACUGAUCGGCACACCUCCGCCUGGUGACUGGUGAUCCGUUGACACACGAUCGUUGCUUCACGGCGGCGAGCAGGUGAUAGAGAC
rnacentral:lncRNA from 1 species